rnacentral:rRNA from 1 species
AUUGAACGCUGGCGGCAUGCUUUACACAUGCAAGUCGAACGGUAGCAGGCCGCAAGGUGCUGACGAGUGGCGAACGGGUGAGUAAUGCGUCGGAACGUGCCGAGUAGUGGGGGAUAACGUAGCGAAAGUUGUGCUAAUACCGCAUACGUACUGAGGUAGAAAGUGGGGGACCUUCGGGCCUCACGCUAUUCGAGCGGCCUACGUCUGAUUAGCUAGUAGGUGAGGUAAAGGCUCACCUAGGCGACGAUCAGUAGCGGGUCUGAGAGGAUGAUCCGCCACACUGGGACUGAGACACGGCCCAGACUCCUACGGGAGGCAGCAGUGGGGAAUUUUGGACAAUGGGCGAAAGCCUGAUCCAGCCAUGCCGCGUGUCUGAAGAAGGCCUUCGGGUUGUAAAGGACUUUUGUCAGGGAGGAAAUCCCUAGUGCUAAUAACACUGGGGGAUGACAGUACCUGAAGAAUAAGCACCGGCUAACUACGUGCCAGCAGCCGCCGUAA